GAUGAACGCUAGCGAUAGGCUUAACACAUGCAAGUCGAGGGGCAGCAUAUUCGAAGCUUGCUUUGAAUGAUGGCGACCGGCGCACGGGUGCGUAACGCGUAUGUAACCUGCCUGUCAGAAGGGGAUAACCCGGAGAAAUCCGGACUAAUACCGCAUACACUUAGUUAUCCGCAUGGAUGAUUAAGGAAAGAUUUAUUGCUAAGAGAUAGGCAUGCGUUCCAUUAGUUGGUUGGUGAGGUAACGGCUCACCAAGGCAUCGAUGGAUAGGGGAGCUGAGAGGCUUAUCCCCCACAUUGGGACUGAGACACGGCCCAA
rnacentral:rRNA from 1 species